AACGAACGCUGGCGGCGCGCCUAAUACAUGCAAGUCGAGCGAGAAGACGUAGCAAUACGUUUGUAAAGCGGCGAACGGGUGAGGAAUACAUGGGUAACCUACCCUCGAGUGGGGAAUAACUAGCCGAAAGGUUAGCUAAUACCGCGUACGCUCCUUGGACUUCGGUUCAGGGAGGAAAGCGAUACCGUGGGUAUCGCGCUCUUGGAUGGGCUCAUGUCCUAUCAGCUUGUUGGUGAGGAACGGCUCACCAAGGCUUCGACGGGUAGCUGGUCUGAGAGGACGAUCAGCCACACUGGCACUGCGACACGGGCCAGACUCCUACCGGAGGCAGCAGUAAGGAAUAUUGCGCAAUGGGCGAAAGCCUGACGCAGCGACGCCGCGUGGGGGAUGAAGGUCUUCGGAUUGU
rnacentral:rRNA from 1 species